AAAUUGAAGAGUUUGAUCAUGGCUCAGAUUGAACGCUGGCGGCAGGCCUAACACAUGCAAGUCGAACGGUAACAGGAAGCAGCUUGCUGCUUCGCUGACGAGUGGCGGACGGGUGAGUAAUGUCUGGGAAACUGCCUGAUGGAGGGGGAUAACUACUGGAAACGGUAGCUAAUACCGCAUAACGUCGCAAGACCAAAGAGGGGGACCUUCGGGCCUCUUGCCAUCGGAUGUGCCCAGAUGGGAUUAGCUUGUUGGUGGGGUAACGGCUCACCAAGGCGACGAUCCCUAGCUGGUCUGAGAGGAUGACCAGCCACACUGG
rnacentral:rRNA from 1 species